GUUUCCUUGAGGUUAAAACAUCUGCCUGGAAUGCAGAAGACCCAGGUUCAAUCCCUGG
rnacentral:tRNA from 1 species